rnacentral:tRNA from 1 species
AUUUAAGUAGUUUAAAUAAAAUUUUGAUUUGUGGAGUCAAAGAUAUAUUAUGUUAAUAUCUUAAAUA